UACGUAGAGUGCAAGCGUUUAAUCGGAAUUACUGGGCGUAAAGCGUGCGCAGGCGGCUUUGCAAGACAGAUGUGAAAUCCCCGGGCUUAACCUGGGAACUGCAUUUGUGACUGCAUGGCUGGAGUGCGGCAGAGGGGGAUGGAAUUCCGCGUGUAGCAGUGAAAUGCGUAGAUAUGCGGAGGAACACCGAUGGCGAAGGCAAUCCCCUGGGCCUGCACUGACGCUCAUGCACGAAAGCGUGGGAGCAAACAGG
rnacentral:rRNA from 1 species